UAGAAGAUCUGAGACAGGCAGACCACAAAAACAAUAAUUUAUUGGCAAAAAGAGCAAUCAAGGUCCUGGGCCUGGACACAGGAAAGUUCACCUUCCUAUAGUCAUGGAAGCCCACGAGACAAAUUAGAUCUUCACUGAAGAUAAAAGUGUCUGACAUCUACAUUUGAACCGAUCUUCUCUUAUCUGACGGGGAACGUGAACAGUGAUUAUCCACUUAGCCCAGAUCCAUUCUCUGAUUUUUAAAAAUGUGAUUUGCUAACACAUACCAGACUUCACAUAGGGAGAAGGUGUAAACAUGGAAUCCGUUUCUUGAAGAGCAUUUCAUACAACGCCCCUGAGGAACACACUUUGGAAAAUGUUCAUCCCUGUCCAACUACCAUGUUUGCAUGAGGAAACCAAGACACAGAGAAGAUAAACAACUUGCCUGAAGUCACAAAUGGUAAGUGGUGGAGCUGGGAUGUGAACCUGG
rnacentral:lncRNA from 1 species